CCGAGCUGGUAAGACGCUUAGAAGGUUUUUCACCUAACCCCUUACCAAAAGCGACUAUUGGGCUUAUGGACGCCUUACCUUUUAAGAACUAGCCUGUACGUGAGGAGAACCUAAUGCCGCCCACGAUCUGUCACCUACUAGGGAGUGCGCUCCUACUUUCCGUUCAAGCCAGCGGUAAUCAAAGGUAAUCUUCAGUAUGAGCACCACGCUCACACUUAAUCCUACAACUCUAACUAGUUGCAGCUAGCUAGAGCUCCUAUACAAGAUAGGACGAUGAUGCACACACAGGAGUGGUUACAGGUCACUAACUUCACUAAGACAACUAUAUUACUAAAGUAAAUGCACAACAAGACUAAAAGACUUGCACUAAGUAAGAACUCAGUAAAGUAAAGUAAGAAUAAUAUAUUAAUAAAAGGAAAGUCUUACAAAAGUAGAAAGGUACAAGAGCUAUACCAGACUCUCCAGAAGACGACUCCGGAGACCCCGAGCUUCGCUCGACUCGACUCUAACUCCCACUCUAGACUAACUACUACUCUACUUGUAUGCUUGGAACUUGUAAUGCACUUGGCCUUGGAAUUGCACACUUGAAAUGAAGGAUGGAGGCUGCCUUUUAUAGAGGGAGAUGGAGUAGGGGUUACUCCAUCGCCACGUCAUCGAUCCGCGUGACAUCUUCUCUCCACCCUUGGAUCAAACCGACCUCACAACCGCCAUUUGAUCAACGGCAGGGGUAAAUCAACAUGUGGGACAUGUGGGGAAGGUCGGUGGGAGGCCACCGACCCUGGAACCGCCUUUGAUGUGGGGUCGGGCGACCCCACUUCUGGGCCUCUGGGCCCACCAGCAGUGUCCACAGGGGUCCCUUAUGUCGGUGGACUAGGUGGCACACCUGGGUCCCACCAAAGAGGGGUCGGGCGACCCCCUCCCUGUGGGCCCAGGGUGUCACCUGUUGUCCCCUCGAUCUCCUCUUGAUGAUUCUGAUGUUGGCUUUGUCAAAUAAUGUCUUGAAUUUGUUGUUCCUGCAUAAACAAGCUAAGAGUACAAGUGGAACUAGUUAUGGAUAAAAUAUGUUCAUGUCAUGUCGUUUCCCCUUGCAACUGAGGCAUGUUGACGGUGUUUUGUAUGUGGAUUUCUAUGAUAUAUCCACCGUCAACAAGAUCCCCCAAGCUUAACCUUUGCUCGUCCCGAGCAAACAAUCAAACUUAGCCUCGGUGGAUCAGGUAUUGUUACUAUGUUCACAUUUCAAGAGUACCAUGUGUACAACAAAGUUCUUCUCUUUGCAUGAAAAAUUUAGCUAUGUAAACUUACCCCUAUUACCUUAGUCCCUUAUGGGGCUUAUGGCUUUUCCUUUGUCUUAGGUGGUUGAGAGACAGAACAGUUUGACUUGAGCACUAACUUUCUCAUUCUUAGCAAGUUUCAUAUCAGAGGUUUUGUGAUAUUUUCAAAAGAAAGCUUAAAUGUUCCUCUUAUGGUUCUCUCAUGUCACUCAAAUGGUGUAUGAUUCCUCACCAAGGCAUAUGGUAAGAGUUGCCUUCUCUAUUUCAUCCUAUUUCUAAAAGGCUUAUGUGGAGUUCAAGGUAGGGAUGAAAGGAGAUAGCAUACUUACUUUGCAUGUAUUGCGAAGUCAAAGCUCGGGUCCUUGAAGAGAAGUGUCAUACUCCCAGAUCAAGAUGUGCAAGUGUGAUAUAUGGUGGACUAGGUUGCUCCUUUAUUUGAUAGACUCUCUAUGUAUUGAGACAUGGCUAGCAUUUUUUUUCUUUUUUUUUAUAUAUAUGAGCUUUCAUGUGCUCAAUUUUCUUUUUCUGUGGACUUGCACAUGUCCAUCUUUUUAUUUCAUUUUGCCUAGCCUUUUGAUGUCUCAUUUACCAAAUAAUGCUUAGAGAGAUGUUCUAACAUUUAGAGUAUGGAGCAACCUAUUUAGUGGAUGCGAAAUACAUGUGGUUGCGUACUUCCAGUGUAGAAGCAGCAUAUAUAUAUGUGGUGUGUACGUGAUCUUGAUCUUAGGAGCAUGAAAAGUCUCUUAACAAGGGUCAACAAGACUUGACGACACUCAACACAAAGCAAAUAGCUUAUGUGGAAAGGUUGCAAUUAUGUAAAGUAGAUAUGGCUGUGGUAGGAAUUCAUCACCAUUGAGGAACAAUUAAGGUUUUGAUCAUUUUAAGAAUAAAUCUCUGAUAAUCAUGCAUGCUUAGAAAAAUAUUAUAGUAGCUCUUGUCUUACUAUCUCAUGUCCC
rnacentral:lncRNA from 1 species